rnacentral:rRNA from 1 species
UACGGAGGGAGCUAGCGUUGUUCGGAAAUACUGGGCGUAAAGCGCACGUAGGCGGCGCAGCAAGUCAGGGGUGAAAUACCGGGGCUCAACCUCGGAACUGCCCUUGAAACUGCAGUGCUAGAAUCUUGGAGAGGCGAGUGGAAUUCCGAGUGUAGAGGUGAAGUUCGUAGAUAUUCGGAAGAACACCAGUGGCGAAGGCGACUCGCUGGACAAGUAUUGACGCUGAGGUGCGAAAGCGUGGGGAGCAAACAGG